CAGACCGGCACAGCGCCUGCAGAGGGCUGGAAGCUGAGUCCAGAGGGCAGAGAUGCUUCUGUUCCCACCCAACCUCCUGAGCCACUCUCUCCUGCAGUGUGGCUGCUCCAUGUGUGCCGUGCCCCAACCACACACUGCCCCACUCACUGACCAUCCAACUCCCAGUGAAACUCUUCUGCUUUUUCUGCAUUUGCAAACUCUCGCAUGCAUCCACAGGUGGAAGCUUUUAUGGAUUUUAAAGCUCAAGACAUCUAUCUGAAAGGCACAGAUAGCUCAAUACCCAUUAGGGGUAUGCGCUUCCAGGUCUUCCCAGGUGAAACAUUUAUCUGUCAUUUCCACCGAGGAAACAUAAAGCUAAGAAGCAGAGCCCGCAUUCACGCCAUUCGCACUUUGCUAAGUCACCGGGGGCUGCGUCCAACUCCCACCGCCUGAGAGCACUGGCACAGCCGAGCACCCUCAGCUCACUGCUCCGGAUCGGGCUACGAUAUCACUUCGAACCACCAAUCGACGCGACCUCAGGGACUACAGAUGCCACGUGGGAAGCGCCUGGGCAGCCGGCCGCGUGCGAAACCUGGAUGUCUUCCUGCAAGCCCCUGGGAUAGCUGAAACCAGAGGGACACUAAGCAGAAACCAUAAAGUCACAUUUCUGAAAUGCUUUAGUCAUCAAAGCUCUGUGCAAGUAAAUCUGCUGCAGCUGGAGAAGAUGCACGGAGAUCUGACAGAGUGGGCAGCAGAGGGCUGCACUGUGGAGAGCCUGCAGGUCGUCCCCAGCACAGCCAGGGGAACCAACCAUACCUGUGUGUUACGGACAUCCACGACAAGGCAGUUCCAUAGAAGAUUUAUUUUCAGAAGCAAAGUCUUUCUGGCAGUGAUUUCGAAUCACACCGUAACAGCAGCACCACUCAAGCAGAACGUGUUUUCCAAUGGCUCAUCUACCCCACGCGUGCACCCAGAGCAGCAGACCUCCCCAGAGAGAAUUCCAUCCACAAAUGGCAAAGAUUUGCUGAUCAGACAAAAUAUAGGUAUCAUCAUGAAAGCAUUCAUCGUUUGCAUCCUGUUAGCUCCCAUGAUAUGCUACAUCAUAUGUUUCAUACAUGAAAUAAGCCACUUGUGCUCGUGCCGUGACCGGAUCGGCAGCAGAUGGAGCAGAAGCAAAUGCGUAUCUGCAGCCUCCGUGCCAGCGGAUCGCCAGGCAGGAACACUCUCAGCCCAGCUACCUGAGAACAGAAAGGAGAAGUCAGCACUAUGUUUUGCCUGACUCUCAGAAUCCCUUCCACAGAUCCUUACAUGAGAAGAUCCCAAAUUGUUGUUAUCCACAAAACCUACUUACGAAAUGCAGGCUUUAGAGAAACACCCUUUCACCAACAAAAAAUGCAUCGUCUUCCUCCUCACCACUUACUGGAAAAAGCAGAUUGAACAUCAGCAGCUUAAAUAACCACAGCUUCAACCGCUGCAGACUGAAACCAGACAUGAGAAGCAACAUCUACCUGGUUCGGAGCAAUCACAUCAAUUCACUGCAAAAUGAGCUGCUGGGAAGACACGCACAUGCCAAUUCCUUCCAUUAACUACCUGGAUUCAUAUUUUAAUUCCCAGAUACUAGAAAAACCUGUUGGCAUAAGCAAUAAAUACU